UACGAAGGGGGCGAGCGUUGUUCGGAAUUACUGGGCGUAAAGGGCGCGCAGGCGGCCCUUGAAGUCAGGCGUGAAAGCCCCGGGCUCAACCUGGGAGGUGCGCUUGAUACUCGAGGGCUUGAGUGCGGGAGAGGAGAGUGGAAUUCCCAGUGUAGAGGUGAAAUUCGUAGAUAUUGGGAAGAACACCGGUGGCGAAGGCGGCUCUCUGGACCGUAACUGACGCUGAGACGCGAAAGCGCGGGGAGCAAACGGG
rnacentral:rRNA from 1 species